AUAGCUUAUUUAGCUGACCUUACUGUUUAGAAUAUGGUUCAUCUGAUUUGUGAGGGCACUUUGUGAAGUAGGCCCUAUUUCUCUUGUCCUUUCGUACUCGGAGGAAUAUUUAAUAGACAGAAACCGACCUGGAUUUCUCCAGUCUGAACUCAGAUCACAUAAGACUUUAAUCGUUGAACAAAUGAACCCUUAAUAGCGUCUGCACCAUUAGGAUGUCUUGAUCCAACGUCGAUGUCGUAAACCCUAUUGUCGAUAUGGACUCUAAAAUAGGAUUGCACUGUUAUCCCUGGGGUAACUUAAUCCAUUGAUCAAGUUAUUGGGUCAAUAAGUGUAGAUUUACUUAGACUAGUGAGGUCUUGGUAUAUGUCUUUCAGGGGCUGUGCUGUACUCCGAGGUCACCCCAACCAAAAUUUAUAAUACACUGACAGUAGGUUAAUGCCUGU